rnacentral:rRNA from 1 species
CUACGGGGGGCUGCAGUGGGGAAUAUUGGACAAUGGGGGAAACCCUGAUCCAGCAAUGCCGCGUGUGUGAAGAAGGUCUGCGGGUUGUAAAGCACUUUCGGUUGGGAGGACUGCUUCUAGCACUAAUAUUGUUGGAAGUUGACGUUACCCUCAGAAGAAGCACCGGCUAACUCCGUGCCAGCAGCCGCGGUAAUACGGGGGGUGCAAGCGUUAAUCGGAAUUACUGGGCGUAAAGCGCGCGUAGGCGGCUAGAUCAGUCGGGUGUGAAAGCCCCGGGCUUAACCUGGGAACUGCAUCCGAUACUGUCUAGCUUGAGUACAGGAGAGGAGAGUGGAAUUCCACAUGUAGCGGUGAAAUGCGUAGAUAUGUGGAGGAACACCAAUGGCGAAGGCAGCUCUCUGGCCUGAUACUGACGCUGAGGUGCGAAAGCGUGGGGAGCAAACAGGAUUAGAUACCCGGGUAGUC